rnacentral:rRNA from 1 species
AUCGAACGCUGGCGGCAGGCCUAACACAUGCAAGUCGAGCGAGCGGCGGACGGGUGAGUAAUGUCUGGGAAACUGCCUGUUGGAGGGGGAUAACUCCUGGAAACGGUAGCUAAUACCGCAUACCAUCCGCUGUGCCCCUGUGGGCUUAGCUAGUAGGUGGGGUAACGGCUCACGUAGGCGACGAUCCCUAGCUGGUCUGAGAGGAUGACCAGCCACACGCGAACUGAGACACGGUCCAGACUCCUACGGGAGGCAGCAGUGGGGAAUAUUGGACAAUGGGCGCAAGCCUGAUGCAGCCAUGCCGCGUGUGUGAAGAAGGCCUUCGGGUUGUAAGGCACUUUCAGCGGGGAGGCGGUAGCCGGAGAAGAAGCACCGGCUAACUACGUGCCAGCAGCCGCGGUAAUUC